rnacentral:rRNA from 1 species
CACGCUGUAAACGAUGAGUGCUAGGUGUGGGGGGUUUCGACACCCUCUGUGCCGCAGUAAACGCAAUAAGCACUCCGCCUGGGGAGUACGGUCGCAAGACUAAAACUCAAAGGAAUUGACGGGGGCCCGCACAAGCAGCGGAGCAUGUGGUUUAAUUCGAAGCAACGCGAAGAACCUUACCAGGGCUUGACAUCUACAGAAUACAAUAGAGAUAUUGUAGUGCCUGCUUGCAGGAACUGUAAGACAGGUGG